rnacentral:rRNA from 1 species
UACGUAGGGUGCAAGCGUUGUCCGGAAUUAUUGGGCGUAAAGAGCUCGUAGGCGGUCUGUCGCGUCUGGUGUGAAAACUCAGGGCUUAACCCUGAGCUUGCAUCGGGUACGGGCAGACUAGAGUGCGGUAGGGGAGAGCUGGAAUUCCUGGUGUAGCGGUGAAAUGCGCAGAUAUCAGGAGGAACACCGGUGGCGAAGGCGGGUCUCUGGGCCGUAACUGGACGCUGAGGAGCGAAAGCAUGGGGAGCGAACAGG